CAAAAACACUCCCCUUUCAUCUGUUCUGGAACCUUCCAUACCAGCAGAUGAAGAGUGAUAGGAACGCGUCACAUUUUGUUUCUUGUAAAACAUUGACAGUAAGUUGACUAACUGUUCAAGACCUCUCCUCUUCACUUCACUCUACUGCAGGGUGGGAGAUGCAACAAUGGCCUUGAGAACAGCAGGAAGUGUGUUGGU